GAUACAGUGAUUCGCGAGCCCAAGACAGUGGGUGCCUUUACGGCUUAAUACUCCCACUUAGGUAGAAUUUUGGAGAUGUUUGUUUCGUUAACAGAUCCUCUCACCGUUCUUGGGUGGAGGUAUUUUUUUUGUAGUU
rfam:Sulfobacillus thermosulfidooxidans strain ZBY contig7, whole genome shotgun sequence.